UCCUCUCACCCCUCCCUCUUCCUUUGAAGCAUUGGAUGCAGAUAUACCUCUGCUUGUUCCAGCCUUAGGCACAUGCCUGAACUCAUCAGGAUAAGGUGGCCUGUUGUUUCUAUGGUAAUGGAAGCUGGCCUAUUUGGGCGAAUGGGGCGCUGCGCUGCCCCACCAACCUCAGUCUGCCCUCAGUGAAUGCCCACAUGUCUGUCUUCUUACCUGCAAUCUGCCCAGGGGUGCCACUGGCUGUCAGCCACCUCCUCCUGGGUCUCAGCACUGCCUUUACAGAACUAAAUGAGGAUCAGCAUGGGGACAAACCUAGAAUUGCUUCCGUCUGUCAUGGGCUCUGGCUACUGUUGGCCUCCCUGUUUUUACCAAUCUCAAUUCACAAGUUUGUUGCUUGUCAAUCUGUACAUUUUGACCAAAUUGUAUUUGCACUGUUGGUAUGAAAGUGAGUGACAAAAUGCUAAUACACUAUUGGAUCUUC